CCUGGCUCAGAUUGAACGCUGGCCGCAUGCUUUACACAUGCAAGUCGAACGGCAGCGGGGGCUUCGGCCUGCCGGCGAGUGGGGAACGGGUGAGUAAUGCAUCGGAACGUGCCCAUGUCGUGGGGGAUAACGUAUCGAAAGGUACGCUAAUACCGCAUACGUCCUGAAGGAGAAAGCGGGGGAUCGCAAGACCUCGCGCGAUUGGGGCGGCCGAUGUCGGAUUAGCUAGUAGGUGAGGUAAAGGCUCACCUAGGCGACGACCCGUAGCGGGUCUGAGAGGAUGAUCCGCCACACUGGGACUGAGACACGGCCCAGACUCCUAUGGGAGGCAGCAGUGGGGAAUUUUGGACAAUGGGGGCAACCCUGAUCCAGCCAUGCCGCGUGAGUGAGGAAGGCCUUCGGGUUGUAAAGCUCUUUCGGCCGGGAAGAAAUCGUGGUCUCUAACAUAAGCCAUGGAUGACGGUACCGGACUAAGAAGCACCGGCUAACUACGUGCCAGCAGCCGCGGUAAUACGUAAGGUGCGAGCGUUAAUCGGAAUUACUGGGCGUAAAGCGUGCGCAGGCGGUUUUGUAAGACAGGUGUGAAAUCCCCGGGCUUAACCUGGGAACUGCGUUUGUGACUGCAAGGCUAGAGUACGGCAGAGAGGGGUGGAAUUCCUGGUGUAGCAGUGAGAUGCGUAGAUAUCAGGAGGAACACCGAUGGCGAAGGCAGCCCCCUGGGCCUGUACUGACGCUCAUGCACGAAAGCGUGAGGAGCAAACAGGAUUAGAUACCCUGGUA
rnacentral:rRNA from 1 species